rnacentral:antisense_RNA from 1 species
CUUUCUGUUCCUGGCUCCCUUUCGCCCGCAGGUCGCCCAAGUCCAGCCCCACGACGCAGUGCCGACUCCCCGCCGUGCCCCCAGCCCGGCCCGUGUUGCGGAGCCCUGCUCCUGGGCCUCUGCCUGCUGGGUCCACCCUGGGGGAAGCGCCCGUCGUACCCUCCACACCGGGGGCUUCCCCUGACCCCUUCGGCCCUCCCCCGGCAGGUGCCCUCGCGCCCCUCCCGGGGUCCCCAGGGAAACGUGCUUCCAAUCUUCCAGGAAAAAAUGAAGGCUCAGGAUGAGAAAAAGCAAACAAAGGACAGUGGGACCAUGGGCGUCCCCACCCCCACCACCCGCAGGCCCCACACUCAAACCAGCGCCUGUGCCCACGCCCAUGCAGCCGUCCUCCGCCAGGCCCCAAGAACGGCUGUUACUUUGGGGGCCGAGGCACAAGGGAGGCCCCAUUCAUCUUCCCUGGAGUCGGCAUCCCUUUGAUCGCGGGGCCAUCUCAUCUGAACAUCUUCACCCGCCCCACCGCCAAUAUUCCUUCUGAACCCUCCAUCCUCCUUCUCCCCUUCCCUUGGGACCAUAAACCCACCCCAAGAGUGAGUCCUAGCUCCAGGGCCAGCUCCCAAUCCUGCCUCUGUCUGGUGGCAGCUGGGGCCAGGCUGAAGGUCUGUCCUAGACUGAGCCAUAAAGGCAAAAAUAAUACUUACUCCUAAUAGAAGUAAAGCACCUCACCCUAGAUGAGCCCUGGUCCUGGUCACACACAGAACCUAGACCUUUAUUUAGAGAUGGGCCAUUAAUUUGUCACGUGGGCUAGGUAUGGUGGCUCAAACCUAUAAUCCCACUUUGGGAGGCCCGAGCAGGAGGAUCACUUGAGGCCAUGAGUUCGAGACCAGCCUGGGCAACAUAGCAAGACCACGUCUCUACAAAAAGAUUUAAAAAUUAACCAGGUUUGGUGGCAUGUGCCUGUAGUCCCAGCUACUGCAGUGAACCAAGAUUGUGCCACUGCACUCCAGCCUGGGCAACGGAGCAAGAUCCUGUCACAAAAAAAAAUUAUCACAUGGCCAAAGUUAUUUCCAGGCUCUGAGUGCCAGCUUCCUCAUCUUUCCAACAGAGGGCCUUCACCUGGGCUAAGUGUUAAAUCAGAAAACCCCUAUUCAGAGGUUGGCCUGCAGUUCCCUGACCUGGUAACACUGGGGAGCAUUGGCUGCUGUCACCUGCCAGCUCCCACCCCCACCCAACACUUACAGACCAAGCAUCACUAAUUUUUGCAGCUGCCAUGAUAAAUGGCACUGUCAGCAAAAUGACAUCUUUCUAAUCUGCCACAAGACAGACGGGUCCCCGAGCUCCCGCAGCCUCCCGAGAGCCAGCCCAGGCCAUCCUUGUUGAGAGGAUGGGCAGAUGCAAAGCCCAGGGCCUGGGGGCGGGUGGGAUGGAGAGGAGACCUCAGGGCCCAGAAUCAAGGACAUCCCUAGUGGGGUUUACCACAGGCUCUUUUCUAAAUAUUUAGUUGUAUGUGUGCUUUUAAAAAUAUUCCAAAGAAUAUUAUAUGCUCUGUUCCUUUCUGACCAAAGUUAGGGCUUCAAUUCAAUUUUCUUUUCUUUUCUUUCUUUUUUUUAGACAGGGUCUUGCUGUAUCGCCCAAGCUGGAGUGCAGUGGCACAAUCACAGCUCACUGCAGCCUUGACCUCCUGGGCUCAAGCGAUCCCCCCACCUCAGCCACCUGAGUAGCUGGGUCUAUAGGCGCCAGCUACCAUGCCUGGCUAAUCUUUGUAUUUUUUUUGUAGACACGGGGUCUCGCCAUGUUGUCCAGGCUGGUCUUGAACUCCUGACCUCAAAUGAUCUGCUUGCCUUGCUCUCCCAAAAUGCUGGGAUUUCAGGCUUGGGCCACUGCACCCAGCCUCAAUUUUCACUUUAAAUUAAAACCUGGAAAUUGUUCAGGUUUAUAAGGAUGAACCAUUAGACACUGGUUCUGAGGCGGUGCUCUCUUCCUGUCACCCUCUGCUCUGCGGAACAGUCUGCCUCUGCCUGAGCCAUUGGGUCUGGGGGCUUUCUCACCCCCGUCCUCCCUCCCACUCCCUCCCUGCUCCCACCCUCCCACCCAGCCUCUUUGCUGACCUCAGCCGCAUCCCCUCCAUGCCUCACGCUGGCCUGGGACUGCCAGGUUCCUGUGUCCAGGAGUAGAGGUGAAUUGGGGCUCUGGAUGCCAAGAACAGAGGAAGGACAAAUGCCAGCCCCAGAGACCCUCACCUCCUCAAGACCAACAGGAGCUGGCACCUGUCCGCCCAGCAGCAGCAAAGCCAGAGCAGGUGCCAGCCAGGGUGGGUAGGCACAAGCCUGGGCUUGAAGAUUGAGACAGCGCUGCCCCCUCCUGGCUAAUUCAUGGCUGCUCCUCUGACAGGUACUGCCAGGCUAAGCUGUUGAGGUUGGGGACAUAGUGACCCCAAAAACAGCAUGUGACAAGCUGACCUUCCCUGCAGUCUGCCCAGCUGGGAGCUGCCUCCCACUCUGCCCAUCCUGUCUGAGCUUCUCCCAAAGCAUCUUCCGGCCCUCACUCCUUCAGGGCAAAGCCCGAGGCCCCUCCCAGCUGCCCACAAUGUGGCCCCGGGUAGCAGCCUCGCCCCCUGCACCCCAGGCCCCUGCUGCUCUGUGCCUCCCCAGUUCCCUGUCACUGCACCUGCAUGCUUUGCUCUCACCUUGACCUCCACCUUCGCCCUCCCCAGCAGUCUCCUCUUGUCCUCUUAGGUCCCUCCCCGAGGAAACUCCUCUCCCAACUCCCAACCAGAGGGACUCCGCUCCUCUGCCUGCACCCCGACCUGCCCUGCCCCUGUCUCGGGGACUGCACAGUGUCAGCACAGUCCCACAGUUCUGGAACUUGGGGGAACCUAGACCUCUUCCAGGCCUACCCUGUGCACUGUCUAAAGGGCAAUCCUGAGCCCAGAGAGGGGCAGGAGCUGCACAAGGCCACACAGCCUGUAGUGGCAGUUAGGACUGGAAUGCAGCUCUCCCGAGUCUCUGCCUGGGGCUCCUUGGAGGACAGACACAUGGCUUCCCCACCUGGUGAACCAGAAUGGAAUUCUUCAAGGACAGGGACUGUAUCAUUCCUUCCAAUGUCCCCAGCCCCUCACCCAGAGCAGGACCCACAGGAAGCAACUGUGAACAGAAAAGGAAAAAACAAAUACAUGGAAAUAUAUCUCU